rnacentral:lncRNA from 1 species
UAGUGGUGAUGGUUCCUCCAAUGACACUGGUCAUGAGCAGAGCAAUUAUAAGUAUUCCUUCUUUAUUUCCCUGUAGAUUAUUUAUGUCAUGUGGGUCACUAUUGCCCCACUGGCAGCCCUGAGCCCAUACCCUGCCCCUCUGGAAAAUACCAGGACCAGGCUGGUAAAAGCCAGUGUGAAACGUGCCCAGCAGGAAUGACUCGUUUCCCCCAGUGGUCCUUGUUUGCCCGGGUAUUACUGCACUUCAAAGGCACACGUACCCAAUCCUGCCAACGAUGCCACUGGUGGCCUUUGCCCUGCGGGCCAUUACUGCCCAGCAGGCAGCAACGAGCCAUGGCCGUGUCCCACUGGCAAGUUUUUGCCUCAGUCUGGAAUGGUUUACCAGAAUGCCUGUCUGCCCUGCCCAGGAGGGAAGUUCUGCCAAGGAGAGGGCUUGAUGAGUGUUUCUGGAUCGUGUUCUGCUGGCUAUUUCUGUGACGUUGAAUCCACACGGCCAGACCAUAAGCAGUGUCCCCCUGGCUUUUACUGUCCCGAAGGCUCUGAAUCCCCGGUUCCUUGCAGCCCUGGUCACUUCAACUCUGAGAGAGGAAAGUGGAAAUCAGCAGACUGUCAGCUCUGCCCAGCUGGAUAUUUCUGCAGUGGUGAGUACUGAUGUAUUUGAGAACUGGGGUUUGCACAAUGUAAAGUGAGGCGAGAUAGGUACGUUCUACAGCUUUGUUCCUUACAAACUUGUCCUUAGAGGAGGAACCAACUCCUACUGUGCCACACUUCUCAUUUGGUAGGACAUUCACCAAGCACAAAUGCCCCACGUUAUUUAUCUUCCAACAUUGCUGUGGUGUUUUCCAUAGCACCCAGAACAGCUCUUGCUAUUCUGUGUCGUCUUUGUUGCUUGGCUCAGACACCCUCUCUAGAUGUCUUACAAGAAUUCAGCCUCUCUGGGAAACAGAACGGCCUGGCAGACAGGUACUUGGUGCUGGCUCACAGCCAGGGGCUCUGCUUUGAGGCAGCUGCUCAGAGGUUCUCACAGUCUGUCUGCACAAUAUGUGUGUUUACUCCCCCCACAACACUGAAUAGUUUGAGGUCACGCUGGUGGUAACAGAUUCACCCACCCCUUGCAUUAGACAAAGAAGCUUUUCCUUUCUCAGGUGGGAAACUGAAAUAGGAGAGAACUGAACUCACACAAGUGUGUACCAGAGCUGGAACCGCAAGUGAGAUUUCCAAAAGUACAGUUGCAUGCGGAAGCCCACGUUUCCCACAGGCAUAUAAUUCAGAAUUGCCUUUCCUUUGUACUAAGAUGUUCUUUGUCUGAGGCUGAACUUUGGAGAAUGCGUUCUUUCUGAUACUGGUGACAGGUAAAUGA